ACAUGCAAGUCGAGGGGUAACGACUCCGUCUUCGGAUGGAGGUCGACGACCGGCGCACGGGUGAGUAACGCGUAUGCAACCUACCUUUUACAGGAGGAUAGCCCAGAGAAAUUUGGAUUAAUACUCCAUAGUACUAAUGAAUCACCUGGUUUAUUAGUUAAAACUCCGGUGGUAAAAGAUGGGCAUGCGUGUCAUUAGCUAGUUGGUAAGGUAACGGCUUACCAAGGCGAAGAUGACUAGGGGUUCUGAGAGGAAGAUCCCCCACACUGGUACUGAGACACGGACCAGACUCCUACGGGAGGCAGCAGUGAGGAAUAUUGGUCAAUGGGUGAGAGCCUGAACCAGCCAUGCUGCGUGAAGGAAGACUGCCCUAUGGGUUGUAAACUUCUUUUCUGCAGGAAGAAAUCACUCUACGUGUAGGGUGUUGCCGGUACUGCAGGAAUAAGCAUCGGCUAACUCCGUGCCAGCAGCCGCGGUAAUACGGAGGAUGCAAGCGUUAUCCGGAUUUAUUGGGUUUAAAGGGUGCGUAGGCGGGCUUGUAAGUCAGUGGUGAAAUGCUGUGGCUUAACCAUAGAAUUGCCAUUGAAACUGCAAGUCUUGAGUACAGUUGAGGUGGGCGGAAUGAGUAAUGUAGCGGUGAAAUGCAUAGAUAUUACUCAGAACUCCGAUUGCGUAGGCAGCUUGCUAAACUGUAACUGACGCUGAUGCACGAAAGCGUGGGGAGCGAACAGGAUUAGAUACCCUGGUAGUCCACGCUGUAAACGAUGAGCACU
rnacentral:rRNA from 1 species